rnacentral:rRNA from 2 species
GACAGAGGGUGCAAACGUUGUUCGGAUUUACUGGGCGUAAAGCGUGUGUAGGCGGCUUCGCAAGUUGGAUGUGAAAUCCCACGGCUCAACCGUGGACGUGCAUCCAAAACUGCGUCGCUAGAGUCUCGGAGAGGAAGGUGGAAUGCUUGGUGUAGAGGUGAAAUUCGUAGAUAUCAAGCAGAACACCUGCGGCGAAGGCGGCCUUCUGGACGAUGACUGACGCUGAGACACGAAAGCGUGGGGAGCAAACAGG